rnacentral:rRNA from 1 species
AUUGAACGCUGGCGGCAUGCUUUACACAUGCAAGUCGAACGGCGGCGCGGGCUUCGGCCUGGCGGCGAGUGGCGAACGGGUGAGUAAUACAUCGGAACGUGCCCAGUAGUGGGGGAUAGCUCGGCGAAAGCCGGAUUAAUACCGCAUACGACCUGAGGGUGAAAGCGGGGGAUCUUCGGACCUCGCGCUAUUGGAGCGGCCGAUGGCAGAUUAGCUAGUUGGUGGGGUAAAGGCCUACCAAGGCGACGAUCUGUAGCUGGUCUGAGAGGACGACCAGCCACACUGGGACUGAGACACGGCCCAGACUCCUACGGGAGGCAGCAGUGGGGAAUUUUGGACAAUGGGCGAAAGCCUGAUCCAGCAAUGCCGCGUGUGUGAUGAAGGCCUUCGGGUUGUAAAGCACUUUUGGCGGGAACGAAAAGGACUGUGCCAAUACCGCGGUUCGAUGACGGUACCCGCAGAAUAAGCACCGGCUAACUACGUG